UACGUAGGGGGGCUAGCGUUGUCCGGAAUCAUUGGGCGUAAAGCGCGUGUAGGCGGUCCGGUAAGUCCGCUGUGAAAGUCGGGGGCUCAACCCUCGGAUGCCGGUGGAUACUGUCGGGCUUGAGUACGGAAGAGGCGAGUGGAAUUCCCGGUGUAGUGGUGGAAAUGCGUAGAUAUCGGGAGGAACACCAGUGGCGAAGGCGGCUUUCUGGUCUGCUCUUGACGCUGAGGCGCGAAAGCUAGGGUAGCAAACGGG
rnacentral:rRNA from 1 species